CGCACCUCUCACUCCGCAUCCUUCUCUUCUUUCUCUCUCCAUUUCAAUCACCCCCACUCUUUCUGCGUUACUCUGUCCUUCAAUUUUCUAUUUCAUCGAAGGAGCUUGCAGUUGAGGAACCUUGAUUCGAAGCCCUAACCUCAACCAACAGAAUUUGAGUCUGUUAAUGUGAUUUAUUCUCUUCUUGUAUGAGUGUUUUUGCACUCGCGUGUUUACAUUCCCCCCUCAAACUUUUAGAGAAGUUCGAUCAAUGGCGGAAAGGAGAUUCCGGAUAGGAUAUGCGCUCGCACACAAGAAGCGACAGAGCUUUAUACAAAACUCAUUGGUGACCCUCGCUGAAUCUCGCGGCAUAGACCUCGUUCGGGUCGAUGCGGACCGGCCGCUGGUGGAUCAGGGCCCCUUCGAUUGUGUUCUUCACAAAUUGUACGGCGAUGAUUGGAAGGCUCAGCUGCGGGAUUUUGUGAGGAAAUACCCAAAUGCGGUCAUCCUCGACUCGCCUGACGCGAUUGAGAGACUGCACAAUCGGAUUUCCAUGCUACAGGUGGUGUCGGAGUUGAAGAUUGAGGACCAGAAUGAGACCUUCGGGAUUCCUAAGCAGAUUGUCAUAUAUGACAAGGAAACUCUCCUCGAUCGGCUUGCGUGGGAGAGUUUGAAGUUUCCAGUAAUUGCGAAGCCUUUGGUGGCAGAUGGGAGCGCCAAAUCGCAUAAAAUGGCGCUUGUUUAUAACCACGAUGCCUUGAACAAGCUGAAGCCGCCGAUUGUAUUGCAGGAGUUUGUGAACCAUGGCGGUGUCAUUUUUAAGGUGUACGUGGUUGGCAAUUAUGUAAGAUGCGUCAAGAGGAAGUCUUUGCCAGAUGUUGAGGAUAAGCUAGAUUUUUCAAAGGACUUGUUGUCGUUCUCUCAGAUUUCCAAUUUAGCCGCCAACGAGAGGAUUGAUGAUAAGUAUUACGAGAUGAUGCAUCUGGGUGACACAGAGAUGCCCCCGCAGAGCUUCAUUAACGAAAUAGCUCGAGGCUUAAGGCAUGCGUUGAAGUUGAAUCUUUUUAACUUUGAUGUGAUUCGAGACUCGAGAUUUGGAAAUCGGUACCUUAUAAUUGACAUUAAUUACUUCCCGGGGUAUGCUAAAAUGCCGAAUUUCGAGUCUAUAGUGACAGACUUCUUGUAUGAUACAAUGUACAAGAAACAGAAAGAACAAAUGCUGAAGGGUCCGGAUGAAAAAGUCUGCUCGGAGAUUACUGUUUUGGAUCAGUGUCAGAAGCAUAGUUAUGGCGAAGAUAAGAGAAAGGUUAUAAGCAACACUUGUAGUGACGAGGAUGAGGGAAGCCUUCAAGUUUCACCUUUCAACAUGGAGGAGAAAGAGAAUUCAGUUCAAGUCUGAUAAUCAUGUCAAACACUGUGUAUCUCAUUCUAUCAUCAUCAUUUGUUGGUGGUUUUGGGCAACCAGAAUUUGCUCAAUGGACCCAUGCGCCAAUUUGUGGAUAGACGGGAGCUGCACAUUCUGUUUAGAUAGCCAUUGGUACAGUGGUGAAAUCAGUUGGUUGUUUGUGCCUAGUUUAACCCCUUAACAUGUAUAUUCCACCCGCCAUUUCUCUGGAGAUAGGGAGUUUUCUUUGGAGUUCAACAGCUUCAUGUUAUAUAUGGUAAAUGCAUAAUAGACUUUGGACUGGCAGAUGCCCUGCAUUUGUUCUCCUUGCCUAUAGCUGUUUGUAUGUGUAUAUCUAUGCUUUAUUACGUCUCAAAUCAACAUUGAGGACUUAAACUGAUGUCUGACAUGGAGUUUGAAUUCUGAAUUUUAAAUGCUACAUGCUGUGCAGCCAAUAUAAGGAAUCACUUUUUGCCCUAACCAGUAUCCUCUUCGUUUCUGACAUGAUUUAUCGGGUUGUAAGCACAAUUUUGCAUGUUCUUUAGGUAUUUGAAAUACACAUUACUUUUUUCCCCUUGGUAUUUGCCAGAUGUUUGGCAAAGUUUAUGGAGAUUUUGAAACAUUUCCAGAUUGAACCUGAUGUGCAAAGUCCAGUAUAUGCCUAUCUUUUUCACAGUGCAAACAUACUUUUAUUCAUUGAACUGUAGCCUAC